GCCAGCAGCCGCGGUAAUUCCAGCUCCAAUAGCGUAUAUUAAAGUUGUUGCAGUUAAAAAGCUCGUAGUUGAACCUUGGGCCUGGCUGGCCGGUCCGCCUCACCGCGUGUACUGGUCCGGCCGGGCCUUUCCUUCUGGAGAACCGCAUGCCCUUCACUGGGUGUGUCGGGGAACCAGGACUUUUACUUUGAGAAAAUUAGAGUGUUCAAAGCAGGCCUUUGCUCGAAUACGUUAGCAUGGAAUAAUAGAAUAGGACGUGCGGUCCUAUUUUGUUGGUUUCUAGAACCGCCGUAAUGAUUAAUAGGGAUAGUCGGGGGCGUCAGUAUUCAAUUGUCAGAGGUGAAAUUCUUGGAUCUAUUGAAGACUAACUACUGCGAAAGCAUUCGCCAAGGAUGUUUUCAUUAAUCAGUGAACGAAAGUUAGGGGAUCGAAGACGAUCAGAUACCGUCGUAGUCUUAACCGUAAACUAUGCCGACUAGGG
rnacentral:rRNA from 1 species